CAAAAAUUCAAUUCAAGAAUUUUCACACUAUAUAUGUCUUGGUUUUUAGUAUUUGGCAUUCGUUGUGCAAGUUGCCAUGAGGGCAUUUCUCUACGCCUCCCUAAUAUCAUUUAUAUUAAGAGCGUAAGUUUUUAUCGUAUUAAUGUCGCAUAUUUUAUCGUUAUUUAUAUGGGGGGUGUAGGUUACUAUUUUUGUACCGGUGUGUUUUUUUCAGUUUCCCAAUAGAACAUUAUGGUAAGCUGUAUGGAGUAUGUACGUUUGUUGGGGCGACAGUCAGUUUACUACAGUAUCCAGCUAUUAUACUUAUUGAUGGACCAAGCAAUAGUAAUCCUUAUUGGGUAAGUAUAAGAUAUUCAGCAUGAGCUCCAUGCACCUUUGAAUUUACUAUAUGAUAAAUUCUUAAACACGUCCGAAUUUAUCAUUAUGAUAAAUUCGCGGCACCUAACCCCUAACCGCUUGAAAAUCUUGGAAAUCUCCCCGGCGAGACCAGCCUACCUCUAAUGCUUGUGGUUUUACGAUUAACUCUAUUGAUAAAUUCAAACUGUGCCGCGAAUUUAUCAUAAUGAUAAUAUUGAGGAGAAUACAUUGAGGAUAUUCCAAGGUCCAAUCAAUCUGCACGUAACAAGUUGAUAAUAGCUAUAUAGAGAGUUUAAGCUUCGCGUUCAUAUGUCAAACGCCAGGCAAAGAAAAAUUUUGCGGUAUCAGGCAACAAAGAGUAAAUGGACUUGUUAUUUUAAAACUAUAAUGUGUAAUGAUUCUUUAAACUCUCUAACACCAAGCUCGUAGCAACUUGUUACGAACAACCUGUAUUAAGGUUGGUGUUUACACUGUAUCAAAGUUUCUGUGAUCACAGUAGGAAUUUUGCAUAGGUAAAUUCUACGUUUUGAAGGGUUAAGCCAGUUCCCUCAAACAUUUCUUACAAAUCCUUCAAUCCUUACGAAUUUCACCUCUGCAAAAUUCCUACUGUGAUCACAGAAACUUUGAUAUAGUGUGUGGCGGUUUUGUUCUUGGUGGAACAACUUGUAGCAAGUCUGUUACCGUCAUCAACCUUGCAACAAAGGGGUAACAACUUGUUCCAGACUUGUCACUACAACUGGAAACAAGCAGUGCGAACACAUCCUGAUAUCGGCUUGACAACAACCCAAUCGCUGUUCGAAAAGCAGGAAAUGUAUGGUCAAGCUGAUUUUGUAGGGUGGUGCUGGACUUCUCUAUGGGGGUGCUAGACACCACGGGGGGGGGGGCCCCCCUUUCUGCCCCCCCCCCCCCGUAGAUCCGCCCCAGGCCAAAUCUAUAAUUGUAAUGGAUGUGGAAUGAUGCUUGUGAUGUUACUCUGAGUGUAUAUCCACACUGGGCAAGCUUGAAAAAUAUGCCUGACCACGGUGGGAAUCGAACCUACGACCUUUGGAAUACUAGCCCAAUGCUCUGCCAACUGAGCUACGCGGUCUGGUCGUACACUACAGUACGGUCUGGUCGUACACUCUGAGUACACUACACCAACACAGGAUGUGGAAUGCUUUAUAAUUUUAUUCUAGGUCAACUUUGGUUUCUUGGUGGCAACAUUCACAGCAAUGGGUUUCCCUCUAUAUCUGUGGCGCUCGAAUAGAACUGUUGAAGAAGCAACAUCAUUUUAAAUAACAGAAUACAGCGAAGCCCGCAUAAAAAGAACCAAUGAAUUUUGACUUCAGGCUGAAGUCAGGCCUGCAAAUAAUUAUUUUGCUCGGAAGGACAGAUGUCCGAUCAAGACAAAAAGUGGUCGCACAUUUAUCAGUUUUUCUUGGACAAUUUUUUUCAUGGUCUUUUUCAUAUUAGCAUGCAUGAUGUAUUUUGGUUGGUCAUGUUGAUCUGCGCUGCACUGCAUCUAAAACCGAGUAUAAAUCUACAAGUCCUAUACUGCAUUUUUAGUAUAUCAGUCAUACAUAUACCUUUAAUUUCUAGCAUGU